rnacentral:piRNA from 1 species
UACACAAAUACUGAACACUGAAUUUCUUU